UGGCGGACGGGUGAGUAACGCGUGGGUAACCUGCCCCACACUGGGGGACAACAGUUAGAAAUGACUGCUAAUACCGCAUAAGCGCACAGGACCGCAUGGUCCGGUGUGAAAAACUCCGGUGGUGUGAGAUGGACCCGCGUUUGAUUAGCUAGUUGGUGGGGUAACGGCCUACCAAGGCGACGAUCAAUAGCCGACCUGAGAGGGUGACCGGCCACAUUGGGACUGAGACACGGCCCAA
rnacentral:rRNA from 1 species